rnacentral:lncRNA from 1 species
CAUAUGCUGCGGGAGUGGCCCAAGAAAUAGCAAAAAAGACAAAAAAAAAUAAUAAUAAUAAAUAAAUAAAACAUCUUAUAUAUACUGAUUGUCAUUUAUUUAUUUAAUCCUUUUUUGGGUUGCACAUAUGGCAUAUGGAGGUUCCUAGGCUAAGGGUCGAAUCAGAGCUGUAGAUGCCAGCCUACACUAUAGCCACAGCAGUGCUGGAUCAAAGCUGCAUCUGUGACCUGCACCAGAGCUCAUGGCAAUACUGUAUCCUCAACCCACUGAAUGAGGCCAGGGAUUGAACCUACAUCCUCAUGGAUACCAGUCAGGUUCAUUAACCACUAAGCCAUGAUGCGAACUCCUGAUAAUUGUUUUUUAAUCUCUUGGUUUUCAAUUAUUUAAUUCUGCUUCCUAUAAAUCUGCUCAUUUUUGAUAGAAUGUUGAAUACUGCGUAUGCAAAAUUAUAAAGAAAAUUUGACGUUUGCAUGUGGUUAUUUUCAGUCAGAGAAAUAUAUUUUUUUAAAUUUCUGGCAGGCAGUAGAGUAAGGACAGAUCAAUUUAAUUAUCCUGGAAUAGAAGUGACUCAAAGCUGGUUUUCUGCCUUUAGGAGAGGAUUUGUUUGGGUUUGCCAUUAGCCCACUUGAAGCUGAAGUAUUUACCAGAGCCCAUCUUCUUUGGCAGGUCCUGAACUAAAUGCUUCUCUCCUCUGUCCACUCAAUUGGCAAAAGCUCUCUUCAGCUUCCUAGAAUUUUGGCUAAAGUGUAAAAAUCAGCCUAUGCUUAGGAAUGUGCCAAGUAUUAGGCUCCCCUCUCUGUUUUCCUUUUUCUUUCUGUGACUUUGAUGCCUCAAGUUCUGGCUGCUCUGGGAGACAUCAAUCCUCAUUUUUACUUUUCUAGUCCCAAGAGACUGCCCAAAGCUCUGAUCAGUUUCUCAGCACUUUGAUCUUCUGCACAAAUCAGUAAGGAAAACAUGGCACAGGAAUUUGGUCUCUGCCCAGUAUAGUCCCCUUCUCUGAAGGAUCUUGAUUCAAAUGCUGGCUACUAACAUAGUUCUGUAAUAUUUUAAAGUGGAUUUAAGCAUUUUUUAAAAAUUAGCUUUCACAGUUGCUCUUCGUGUUUGUUCUCCUAUAAGAUAGUUUUCCCUUAUUAUAAUUAUUAUAUUAGGAUAUUAAUCAAAUCUUUUAUAAAGGGAAUAUUGAACAGUAUAAAUUAUUAAUUUUGUGUGUGUGUGUGUGGUUGCACCCACAGCAUAUGGAAGUUCCCAGGCCAGGCACUGAAUCAGCCACAGCUGUGGCAACACUGGAUCCUUUAAUCCACUGUGCUGGGCUAGGGAUGGAAUCUAUGCCUCCAGAGCAACCUGAGCUGCUGCAGUCAGGUUGUUAACCUACUGCACCAUAGAAGAAACUCCUAUAAAAAUUUUUAAAUUAAUUGUGAGUUAAUACAUUUCAGUUCUUAGCACAACAGCAAUUUAGAAUAUGAUAACGAGUAUUUAAAAUGAAAAUACUAAAAUUAAGAUAUUUUGGUUCUAUCUUCUGAAAGAAGAUCAUCUGUCCCACCAUGCAGAGAUAUAGAUAUCUAUCUUCUUUGAUAAAUGAUGAAGUUCACAAUAAUAGCAGAAAACAAAUAUCUGAAACUGCUCUGAUUUUUGCCUAAUGCUUACAGGAAUCAGAAAGUUACUUUAUCAGCCCUUUCACCUGUCUCCUCUCUCUCACUCAUCUCUCCCUGCCUGUCUCUCUGUAUAUACACAUACACACACGUACAAACACCCAUAUACAACAGUAGCAUAUUUGUGUAUAUACCAACCACACACACACACAUAUACAUGCAUAUAUACAAACAAGAAGCACAGAAAGGAUAACAAAGCAGUUGCUUGCAAGAAGCUUUUUUUUCAUCUGACUAAAUAAAGAACAUUUUUGUAAUGACUCCUUAAACCAAUAUUGCCCGUUCUUUUUCUGCUUAAUUUGAGGAAUUUUCUUUGAGUUCCCAGUGCAGGUUUUAUACUUUGCGUUUUGAUAUUGUAUAUUGCUUUUACUUGUAUCAUCAAGUAAAUACACUAAUUUCAUAUUAUUUAAUUGGUUUCAUUGUUAACUCUAUUACUAUGACCCAAAACAUUCUAUAAGCUUAAGGAAGCCAAAAAAUAAAAAUGAAAUUCUGAGUAUAUAUUUGGAAAUAUAUAAAUUUUCAAAUAUUUGAGCUUUAGGAAACAAAGAUACCAAAAUAGUUUUAGGUGUUUAAAUAGUUUCACCUGCAAAUCUGAUUGGUAGGGAUGGAGUAGACACAGGUAUUUUUAGAAGUCCCAAUAAAGGGACACAGAUAACAAGGGAAACGUAGGGGACUUUGAGAGACGGCUGUAAGUAAAUAAAUUGCUCAAAAAAGCCAUCAGCACAAGGCAGGUUUGCAUCAAUAGUGGGGCCUUGAGAAUCGCCUCAGAUCGUUGGGUAGGGAUGAGAUGAGGGCUGCAUUCAUAUUCAGACCAAGGGCAAGAGUUUGAGGACCACCCUUCUGCGGAGUUGAAUACACACCUCACAGGAUACUAAGGAGAAGCUACUACUCCCAGAAAGGAAGAAGAGGGCCUUUCCAGCCCCCACUCUCCUUGGAGGAUAACACUGGAGCCCACUGGAUCCUCGGGGCAGAGCUUCUGUGCCUGCAGGCUUGCAUCUCUCACAAGCGUCCUAUCUCAAUAAAUCUAUUUCUUGCCUAUCACUUUGCCUCUCGCUGAAUUCCUUCUGUGUGGAGACAUGAAGAACCUGAACCUCAGUGAGUCCAGACACAGGGUGAGUGAUUCUAAUUUAGAACCAUGGGUUUAAGUCCCAAUCUGGGUUUACGCCGGGUUCAAGUCCCGGCAUGUGGAUUCAAGUCCCAAUCUGUGUCCUGACUAGGUUCAGGCCAUCAGUACUGUCAGUUUCAAGAUCAUGUGUCUUUAUUGAAGACUACCAAUUCUCUUAUUAGGCAAGUGAUCUAACAGUUUCUGAAAAACUAACUGGGUUCUGUCCAUCUAGUUGUUUCUAAUGAUUUCAAUCCAUGAAUAUUGGUUGCUUUUUAACAUGAUGACUCAAGGUGCCCAGACUUUAGACUCUGUACAUAUUUAUGUUUAGUAAAAAGCAAAAUAAUAAAAUGAUGAUUUGAAUAAACUGUCCAAUCAAAACAAUAAAGUAGUUUCAAUGGCUUUUGUUAAUACAAACUGCUGUUUAAAAUAAGGAAGUUGUGGGGUUCCCGUUGUGGCUCAGUGGAAACAAAUCAAACUAGGAACCACUGCAGGUUCGAGCCCUGGUCUUGCUCAGCGGGUUAAGGAUCUGGUGUUGCCAUGAGCUGUGGUGUAGGUUGCAGAUGUGGCUCAAAUCCUGCAUGGCUGUGUCUGUGGUAUAGACUGGCUGCUGCAGCUCCGAUUUGAUUCCUAGCAUGGGAACCUCUAUAUGCUGAGAGUGCUGCCCUAAAAAGCAAAAAUAAAAUAAAAUAAGGAAGUUGCUGGGGGUUCCCAUUGUGGCUCAGCAGGUUAUAAACCCGACUAAGAUCCAUGAGGAUGCAGGUUCGAUCCCUGGCCUCAUUCAGUGGGGUAAAGAUCCAGUGUUGCCCUGAGCUGUGGCGUAGGUUGCAGACGCAUCUUGGAUCCUGCAUUGCUGUGUCUGUGGCACAGGUUGGCAGCUGCAGUUCUACAUUCGACCCCUAGCCUAGGAACCUCCAUAUACCACAGGAGUGGCCCUGAAAAGAAAAAAGAAAAAAAAAAAAAACAGGAAAAGGAAAUUGUCAAUCAUGAAUGGUGUCAUCAGAAUGCUAGCAUCAUUCAAACAUUUGGAAACUGAUAUAACUUGAAAUACAUCUAUUACAUUGACAAAUGUGUUUAAUUCAGUUAACAUGUUUUGGAACCUAAAAAGUGAGACCAUGUUUUGUGGGUUAUUUCCUAAAUUUUAAAGUUGUGAGUUUUACCUUUCACCAGUUAUAAUAAUAAUCUUUUUUUUUUUGGUAAUUUAAAGUUGUAUAUGACAUGAGACAAAUUAUUCUAAAAUGCAACAUUCUAUGUAUCACAUGUAAAAGUACAAACACACACACUCAUAAAUAGCAAGCCAUUUUUUUUUUUUUUUUUGGCUUUUUAAGGCCACACCUCCAGGAUAUGGUUGUUCUCAGGCUACAGGUCAUAGAGCUGCAGCUACUGACCUACGCCAGAGCCACAGCAACACGGCAUCCAAGCUUCGUCUUCAGCCUACACCACAGUUCACAGCAAUGCCGGAUCCUUAACCCACUGAGCAAGGCCAGGGAUGGAACCUGCAUCCUCAUGGUUCCUAGUCAGGUUCAUUUCUGCUGAGCCACAACAGGAACUCUGAGCAAACCAUAUUUUUAAUUGAUUGAAUAAAUAUGUGCAUGCAACGUAGGGAUAAUUACACUAUAUGUGUUAUUUACAACUAUUCACUUUGCAAAGGGCAAAAGUCAUUUUCUUUGCCAAGAAUAUGUAUGUGCAUAUAUUUACAAUACUUAUGUAAAUAUAAAAUAUAUUUUGGAUGGGAUUUUUUUUGGUUUUACUCUUUUGUAAAAGCGGAGAUGACAGAUAGAUAAAUAGAUGAUACUAAAUUUUUAAGUGGUAAUAUUAUAAUCUAUUUUUACUGACAAAAGAUGAUGGAGUCUUUGAAUUACUGUUAAGCAUAGGCAGGACACCUUGCUAUAUCAAUUAAAAUGUGUAAAGAGUGAAAUCUAGUAAACAUUUAAUAUAAUUUAUUGUCUGAGAAAUACUUUUUUAUUACUUGACAUUUGACCAGAAAUGAAGGUCACAAAGAGGUCAAUUUAAUUACUGCUAGAAUAAGCAGCUCAGUAAAUGAUAUUGCAAAGUUCAGAGACUCCCUCCAUAUUUCAUUUAAACAGGAGUGGAAUUUUAUGGGAAUCUUUGUUUCAAAUGAUACAUAUUCAAAACAUGGCUAAUGCAAUUAGGUUUAAUAAAAUAUUUUAAAAUAUGAAGUUCCCAACAUGCUGUCACUGUGAUAUAUUCAAACCAACCAACAAGCAUUUAAUUGGAUUAUACAGUCUAAGUGGACACUAUAAAUAGAUAACCAAUCACAUAAUUCUGCAACCAAAAUGAUUUCCUGUUGUCAGCAGGGUCUAAGGCCAUUGGGAUUUUUUUUUUUUUUUGCCAUAUCCACUUUAUUAUAAAAUCCCAAAUGAAUAUUUUCCAUGAUCUACUUUUCUGUUUACAAUGAUUACGGUGCUAGACUUUCUGAUGAUUUCUUUUUUAACCUUCUCUACUGUUAUAAAGCAUUAUGUCUUUUUAGAUGAGUUUAUGAUGAAAAUUAGUUUGAUGAAUUCAUGUGAUGUACCUUUCUCACAUUUUCAUUGUUUAUGUACACAGAAGUUUCUUCCCAUUCCAUCAAUUCUUCUCAUUUUAUUCUUAUAUUUUAGCCAGUUUGAGUAGUGUUUAUAAACUUUUCUUUUUAUCAGUUGUGACACUCUUGUGAGUAGAAUUUAUUCUUUAUGACUAGUGGUCCACAAUGGACUGAUACUUUUUUGGUUAUGACUUGGGAGCAUUUCUUUGAGUAUUAUUUUAACUCUACCCACUUGUCCCUCUGUGAUGCUCAAGCACCGGGACAGCUCCAUUCUAAGGUUGAAAUUUCCUAUUUUCAAAGCCUCAAGGGUAUACCACAGAGUAUGCCACAAAGAAUAUUGGAAUGUGUACGCUUGGGCUAUCAUAAAUGUGUAGCAAAUUCUCAACUGCUUGCCCGAAUCUGCUCAUUUCACUUUACUGGGACUUUCAAAGAACAAAUGUCAUCUGUGGGAAAUAAAGCGCCAUUGAAGGAUUUAAUACUGUAAAUUGUAAUGGUUAUAUCUUACUGAUCAUUCCAAAUUGAUCUGUUCCAAAAUUUAUUCAGGAUGAAAACAUCCUGAUAGACUCUUUCUAUUGCUGCAUUUCCAGCUUUUUCUUCAUGUGGCUAUUACUUUAGAUACGGCAAUAGAAACUGUAUCAUUAACAGAAGGAUGAGAAUGCUUGUGAGAACCUCAGGGAUAAUGGAGCACUGAGCAGCAGCUGGAGCAUCAAGGCUUAUGACAGAGGCAGCGGGAAGUAGAAGCAGAAGGAAAAAGGAAGGAGCCGGAGAGUGAAGGACAAGUGGUAGGGAUAAUAGCAUUAACGGACAGGUCAGGAGAGGAGGCGAACUUUCACUCUGAAUAAACUGCAUAGUCUGAAUUCAGUGCCGAGGCCACUAUGCUUUUGUGAAACAAUUUUUUCUUUUAAAAGUUCCAAGUCAUAUUUCAUUUCAUCAUUUAUUCUGUCAUUCAUUUAGUAUAGAAUUAAUGUGUAUUUAUUAUCUCACCUGGGUGGGUUGGUUUUAGAUAUGAGAGAUCCAUCAGUAAAAACAACAAAAUGUAUUUUUAAAAAAUAUCUUCCAUUAUGGAAUUUGCAUUCUGAUCUGUAAAAUUGGUACAUGACAGAACAGGUAUCAGAUUUAUCAUAAUUACUAACAUCAUGCAUGCAAAAUAUUUAGUCAAGUUCAAAACAUAAAUGUUAAUUUCUAAAUAAUGGUUAACAUUGUUGUUCUCAGAGAAUGAGUACUAUUAGUAUUAUAUCAGAAAGC